CGUAGGGGGCAAGCGUUGUCCGGAAUUAUUGGGCGUAAAGCGCGUGUAGGCGGUCCGGUAAGUCGGCUGUGAAAGUCCAGGGCUCAACCCUGGGAUGCCGGUCGAUACUGCCGGACUAGAGUUCGGAAGAGGCGAGUGGAAUUCCCGGUGUAGCGGUGAAAUGCGCAGAUAUCGGGAGGAACACCAAUGGCGAAGGCAGCUCGCUGGGACGUUACUGACGCUGAGACGCGAAAGCGUGGGGAGCAAACAGGAUUAGAUACCCUGGUAGUCCACGCCGUAAACGAUGGGCACUAGGUGUGGGAGGUGUCGACUCCUCCCGUGCCGGAGCUAACGCAUUAAGUGCCCCGCCUGGGGAGUACGGCCGCAAGGCUA
rnacentral:rRNA from 1 species